rnacentral:rRNA from 1 species
GGCGGCAGGCCUAACACAUGCAAGUCGAACGCGACCUUCGGGUCGAGUGGCGCACGGGUGAGUAACGCGUGGGAAUCUGCCCUGUGGUACGGAAUAACAUCGGGAAACUGGUGCUAAUACCGUAUAUCCCCUGAGGGGGAAAGAUUUAUCGCCAUGGGAGGAGCCCGCGUAGGAUUAGCUAGUUGGUGAGGUAACGGCUCACCAAGGCGACGAUCCUUAGCUGGUCUGAGAGGAUGAUCAGCCACACUGGGACUGAGAUACGGCCCAGACUCCUACGGGAGGCAGCAGUGGGGAAUAUUGGACAAUGGGGGAAACCCUGAUCCAGCCAUGCCGCGUGUGUGAUGAAGGCCUUCGGGUUGUAAAGCACUUUCGCACGUGACGAUNAUGACGGUAACGUGAGAAGAAGCCCCGGCUAACUUCGUGCCAGCAGCCGCGGUAAUACGAAGGGGGCAAGCGUUGUUCGGAAUUACUGGGCGUAAAGGGCGCGUAGGCGGUGCUCUAAGUCAGGCGUGAAAGCCCUGGGCUCAACCCGGGAAUUGCGCUUGAUACUGGA